GGCCCCAUCGUCUAGCGGUCUAGGACACCGGCCUCUCACGCCGGGAACAGGGGUUCGAGUCCCCUUGGGGUCA
rnacentral:tRNA from 1 species